rnacentral:rRNA from 1 species
AUUGAACGCUGGCGGCAUGCCUUACACAUGCAAGUCGAACGGCAGCAUGAUCUAGCUUGCUCGAUUGAUGGCGAGUGGCGCACGUGUGAGUCAUACAUCGGAACGUGCCCUGUAGUGGGGGUUAACUCGUCGAACGGUUAGCUAUUACCGCAUACAUCUUGAGGGUGAAGGUGGGAGACCGCAAGGCCUCCUGCCUUAGGCGCGUCCGUUGUCUGAUUAGCUAUUUGGUGAGGUAAAGGCUCACCAAGGCGACGAUCAGUAGUUGGUCCGAGAGGGCGAACAGCCACACUGGGACUGGGGCACGGCCCAGACUCCUACGGGGGGCAGGAGGUGGGAAUUUUGGACAAUGGGCGAAAACCUGGUCCAGGAAUGCCGCGUGUGUGAAGAAGGCCCUCGGGUUGGAAAGCACUUGUUUCCGGAAAGAAAUGGCUCUGGUUAAUACCUGGGGUCGAUGGCGGUACCGGAAGAAUAAGGACCGGCUAACUACGUG